UUCGCAAUGCCCGAAAGGGUGACGAAGCGACGCCGCGUGUGGGAAGAAGGCCUUCGGGUUGUAAACCACUGUCGGGAGUUAGGAAGUGUAGGGGUGUUAAUAGCGCCUCUACUUGACUAAGGCUCCAGAGGAAGCCACGGCUAACUCUGUGCCAGCAGCCGCGGUAAUACAGAGGUGGCAAGCGUUGUUCGGAACUAUUGGGCGUAAAGAGCACGUAGGCGGUUCUGCAAGUCGGCUGUGAAAGCCUUCCGCUCAACGGAAGAACAGCAGUUGAUACUACAGGACUAGAGUGCGGGAGGGGAGAGUGGAACUUCUGGUGGAGCGGUGAAAUGCGUAGAUAUCAGAAGGAACGCCGGCGGCGAAAGCGACUCUCUGGCCCGUAACUGACGCUGAGUGUGCGAAAGCUAGGGGAGCAAACGGGAUUAGAUACCCCGGUAGUCCUAGCCGUAAACGAUGGGCACUAAGUAGAGGGGUUUU
rnacentral:rRNA from 1 species